rnacentral:pre_miRNA from 1 species
GUCCAGUUUUCCCAGGAAUCCCUCAGGCACAUGGAUGGGGAUUCCUGGAAAUACUGUUCU